GCAAAGUUAUCUAGAGAGGCCAUAGCAUAGAGUCAUCUGGAAUAAGUCUGCCUUUCAAGCCAAGGCAAGUGUCUCCCUGAGUGGGGCUUGUCUCUGACAGCUGCAGCUGUCAGCUCCACUGACUUCCAGGAGAAAUGGCUGCUUGAUUGCUAGCUUCCUCUUUUCUGCAAAACUGGCAGGCCCAAGUCACAGCUGUCGCUGCCUGUGUGGAGUUCCACAAAGACCAGGUGUCAAUCCUCUCUCUGGGAAGUAGCUGCAAGAGCCUCAUUUCUUUUCUAUCUCCUUUGUGGCCGGGAGGUACGAUCAAGACACACACACACACACACACACACACACACACACACACGACAUAAAGGAAGACCAAUUCGAUAAGAAAAGCAAAGGCCACACUGAUUCAGAGCUUGCUACAGCACAGAGGGUAGCCACCACGGCUUAUGACUGGCUGACAUUCAAAGGUCUACAGUGGAGAGAAGAACUUGGUGUGUGUGGGGUGUGACAAGUUCUAACGGAUGUCAAACACUGCUGCUUCCUAACAGUGAGGGUCAAGAAAGACAGAACGUCGGGUGUUUCCUAGGAGCCCCUCUGACGCCAAGCAGUUCCACCAUGGCACUUGGAUCCAUCAUUGAAGUACUUGGCAAGAAAUUCAAUCAAGAAGGGGACAUAAAAUGAGAAAUAAUCUCCCUCUUAGCUCUGUGUCUAAGCUCCCUGCUGCAGAGGGUCUCCGUUGACUUACCCGCGGGCCGGGACAAGUGGCGCCCAACGUGGGGCCAGAGAACGGGGGAUCCAGUGAAGGACGCUGCUCAGGGGCCCUAAGAUUAAGAUUGAGGAACAAAGAGCAUACUUGAUAUAGAAGAGGCUUGCGAUUGACGUGGACCUGCCGUCUUUUUGCACCUCGGGAACAUCGUCAUCAUUUAAAGUUUGGACCUCCGGCGCACAAUGACAAGGGAACUCAUGAAGGACAUCUGGCUGAAUGAACGAUCCGAAAACAAGAAUAGGAUGAGCUGGAAAUGCCUAGUUCCCCUGAUGUUGCUGACCAGGGUAUGGGUGGUGUCGCCUUCAGAAGGGUUAGACCACAUGAAAAAUAUAUGGAUUCAGUUGGCAGGCUCGCUCAACUUAUCUGAAUUUUGUCUAAGUGCUGAUGUAAACUUUCAUUAUAUGUUGGGAAGUUGCCUCGUUCCUGUAUGUACCCCAUUGGAAUCAUUGCGGCCUUAUACUCUGUUUAAAGAUAUUCCAGGAAAAAAUCUCACAUAUGCAGAUAGUUACAAUUGGGGAUCUGCUACUUGUCGCAGGCCCAAGAAUGCUGUCAAAUUAUAUUCACCUAAGGUAAUUAUGUCUAAUAAGACCGAAUGUGCUGUAUACAGAAAUUGUACAACUAAAUGUCUACAAGUUAAACGUUUGGAAAACAUGUCCUGCCGUGUUGAACAAGAAAUUAUGUAUAGUAAUUGCCAUGUCUCUUUGCCAAUGGGUUGGUUUUACACUUGUGAAAGGGAAACUUUUAAUUACAUUCCGGCCAACUUGAGUGACACUCGUUGUUGCUUGAGUCGGUUGGCUGUGAUAUUACCAGACAGAACUGAUUUGGUUGUACCUAAUCGAAUUAG
rnacentral:lncRNA from 1 species